GUGGGGAAUCUUCCGCAAUGGACGAAAGUCUGACGGAGCAACGCCGCGUGAGUGAUGAAGGUCUUCGGAUUGUAAAGCUCUGUUAAUCGGGACGAAAGAGCCUAGUGUGAAUAAUGCUAGGAAGUGACGGUACCGGAAUAGAAAGCCACGGCUAACUACGUGCCAGCAGCCGCGGUAAUACGUAGGUGGCAAGCGUUGUCCGGAAUUAUUGGGCGUAAAGCGCGCGCAGGCGGAUCUGCCAGUCUGUCUUAAAAGUUCGGGGCUUAACCCCGUGAUGGGAUGGAAACUACAGAGCUAGAGUAUCGGAGAGGAAAGUGGAAUUCCUAGUGUAGCGGUGAAAUGCGUAGAUAUUAGGAAGAACACCAGUGGCGAAGGCGACUUUCUGGACGAAAACUGACGCUGAGGCGCGAAAGCCAGGGGAGCGAACGGGAUUAGAUACCCCUGUAGUCC
rnacentral:rRNA from 1 species